rnacentral:rRNA from 1 species
AUUGAACGCUGGCGGAAUGCUUUACACAUGCAAGUCGAACGGUAACGCGGGGCAACCUGGCGACGAGUGGCGAACGGGUGAGUAAUGUAUCGGAACGUGCCCAGUUGUGGGGGAUAACUGCUCGAAAGAGCAGCUAAUACCGCAUACGACCUGAGGGUGAAAGCGGGGGAUCGCAAGACCUCGCGCAGUUGGAGCGGCCGAUAUCAGAUUAGGUAGUUGGUGGGGUAAAGGCUCACCAAGCCAACGAUCUGUAGCUGGUCUGAGAGGACGACCAGCCACACUGGGACUGAGACACGGCCCAGACUCCUACGGGAGGCAGCAGUGGGGAAUUUUGGACAAUGGGCGCAAGCCUGAUCCAGCCAUGCCGCGUGCGGGAAGAAGGCCUUCGGGUUGUAAACCGCUUUUGUCAGGGAAGAAAAGACUCCUGUUAAUACCGGGGGUUCAUGACGGUACCUGAAGAAUAAGCACCGGCUAACUACGUGCCAGCAGCCGCCGUAA